UACAGAGGUCUCAAGCGUUGUUCGGAUUCAUUGGGCGUAAAGGGUGCGUAGGUGGCGCCGUAAGUCAGGUGUGAAAUUUCGGAGCUUAACUCCGAAACUGCAUUUGAUACUGCGGUGCUUGAGGACUGGAGAGGAGACUGGAAUUCACGGUGUAGCAGUGAAAUGCGUAGAUAUCGUGAGGAAGACCAGUGGCGAAGGCGGGU
rnacentral:rRNA from 1 species